AGACUUGAUGUUUUAUAUAGAAAUGGACCCACCAGGUAAUACUGCGGUAUUAUUGUAGAGAGUUAGUUAAUUUCGUGGCUUUUUAAUUUUUUGAAAGCUACUGUAAAAGAUCCUUUUUAGAUUUCUGUUUUUAUUAAUUUGUUUCAUUGAUAAAAAUUAGUUUGCUCAUGGCUUAAAAAUUAAACAGAUUGUUUGACUGUCUGUGGAAGCAAGCAGCUCAGGCUGUGUGUGGUAAAUGCUUAUUCUUACUUGAAUGGAUAUGAAUUGAACUCCAGUUUUUCACUGGUGUCUUUUGUUAAUCGAGAUCCUUCCCUGGGUGAGUUAUGUUGUGGGAUAUUGUCCCUGUAAUUAAAAUGAUGCAUCCUUUGUGCUGCUUUUCUGUUGCCAGUGGAUGAGAACAGUGUGGCACUUUGCAGUGAUAACACUUGGUACUUUAGAAAGCAUGUAAAAUGUAGCAGUGAUUACAACUCAGUUCUCUAGAUGUUGAGACUUUGCUUGCGUUCUCUUAUAUUAAGAUAUUAUAAUGAAAAAAGAAGUUGACUUUCCAUUAUUGUUAGUCUUUGUAAAAUAUUCUUGGUAGAUACCUGAAAUCAUUUUUUGUAUAAGUUAAAGUAGUAACAGUGCUUUAAAACUUAUGACAGAAUUUACCUAAAAUCCUAGAUUUAUUUGGUUUCCUAAGUUGUUCUAUUCCAAUGUUAGCUCUCCCCCUGCCCCCAUUUAAGGUAUUCAGGAAUAUUGCAGUCUUUUAUUUGUCACCGGUUGGCAUAUAUGAAUACUGAUUUGACAUUGAGGAAGGGGGAUAUCGUUUUUAACCAGACCUGGUAUAUAGAGCACAAUUUAUCCAACAGACUAUUAACAUAAAUAUUAAAGAGAUUUAGGGCACAGAUGAGAGUUUCUUAAAAAGUGGCUUUUGGCAGAACAGUGCCUGAAAUACUAAGAUUAGAGAAACCCAAUUGCUGCUCUUAAAACAUACUGCUGUAGAUGAGCCUUUUUAUUACUGCAACAGUGUUUGUGGAGGACAGAGACCAAAUUUGUCUUUCAUAAUUAAAUAAGAGGAAAUUAAAGCCAACUCAUGUUAUUCCUGCUACUCAUAUGUUCAUAGUUUCUUACUUUAGAUGGAUUUGACCAGGCAUGAAACUUUAAUAUAACUAGAAUCUAGAAGUACAGAAUGUCAUGACUCUGGAUUUACUUUGAAAUUUAUUCACAUGGCCAGCCCAAUUUAUUUGUUAGUUUCUAAGGCUCUCUCUCUUUUCUCCUUUUCAGUUUCAUUUCUUUUUGAGCCAUGCUCUGAAAGAUUUUUCUUUUAAGAAAAUUAUCUUCCAUAUUGCAUGGAAUUGUGAACUAAUGCUAUAUAUUUCAGUUACUCUAAUUUUUUAUUUUUUUAAAGUAAAAGUAUUCAUCCAAAGAAAUUUAGUUCUAAUGUAGUUGGGAUUGUGAACAACUUUUUCUUUUUCAUCUGCAGCACUGCCUCCUAAACCACCAAAACCCACUACUGUAGCCAACAACGGUAUGAAUAACAAUAUGUCCUUACAAGAUGCUGAAUGGUACUGGGGAGAUAUCUCGAGGGAAGAAGUGAAUGAAAAACUUCGAGAUACAGCAGACGGGACCUUUUUGGUACGAGAUGCGUCUACUAAAAUGCAUGGUGAUUAUACUCUUACACUAAGGAAAGGGGGUAAUAACAAAUUAAUCAAAAUAUUUCAUCGAGAUGGGAAAUAUGGCUUCUCUGACCCAUUAACCUUCAAUUCUGUGGUUGAAUUAAUAAACCACUACCGGAAUGAAUCUCUAGCUCAGUAUAAUCCCAAAUUGGAUGUGAAAUUACUUUACCCAGUAUCCAAAUACCAACAGGAUCAAGUUGUCAAAGAAGAUAAUAUUGAAGCUGUAGGGAAAAAAUUGCAUGAAUAUAACACUCAGUUUCAAGAAAAAAGUCGAGAAUAUGAUAGAUUAUAUGAAGAAUAUACCCGUACAUCCCAGGAAAUCCAGAUGAAAAGGACAGCUAUUGAAGCAUUUAAUGAAACCAUAAAAAUAUUUGAAGAACAGUGCCAGACCCAAGAGCGGUACAGCAAAGAAUACAUAGAAAAGUUUAAACGUGAAGGCAAUGAGAAAGAAAUACAAAGGAUUAUGCAUAAUUAUGAUAAGUUGAAGUCUCGAAUCAGUGAAAUUAUUGACAGUAGAAGAAGAUUGGAAGAAGACUUGAAGAAGCAGGCAGCUGAGUAUCGAGAAAUUGACAAACGUAUGAACAGCAUUAAACCUGACCUUAUCCAGCUGAGAAAGACAAGAGACCAAUACUUGAUGUGGUUGACUCAAAAAGGUGUUCGGCAAAAGAAGUUGAACGAGUGGUUGGGCAAUGAAAACACUGAAGACCAAUAUUCACUGGUGGAAGAUGAUGAAGAUUUGCCCCAUCAUGAUGAGAAGACGUGGAACGUUGGAAGCAGCAACCGAAACAAAGCUGAAAACCUGUUGCGAGGGAAGCGAGAUGGCACUUUUCUUGUCCGGGAGAGCAGUAAACAGGGCUGCUACGCCUGCUCUGUAGUGGUGGACGGCGAAGUAAAGCAUUGUGUCAUAAACAAAACAGCAACUGGCUAUGGCUUUGCCGAGCCCUAUAACUUGUACAGCUCUCUGAAAGAACUGGUGCUACAUUACCAACACACCUCCCUCGUGCAGCACAACGACUCCCUCAAUGUCACACUAGCCUACCCAGUAUAUGCACAGCAGAGGCGAUGAAGCUCUUACUCUCUGAUCCUUCUCCUGAAGUUCAGCCACCCUGAGGCCUCUGGAAAGCAAAGGGCUCCUCUCCAGUCUGAUCUGUGAAUUGAGCUGCAGAAACGAAGCCAUCUGUCUUUGGAUGGGACUAGAGCUUUCUUUCACAAAAAAGAAGUAGGGGAAGACAUGCAGCCUAGGGCUGUAUGAUGACCACACGUUUCUAAGCUGGAGUGCUUAUCCCUUCUUUCUUUUUCUUUUUUUCUUUGGUUUAAUUUAAAGCCACAACCACAUACAACACAAAGAGAAAAAGAAAUGCAAAAAUCUCUGCGUGCAGGGACAAAGAGGCCUUUAACCAUGGUGCUUGUUAAUGCUUUCUGAAGCUUUACCAGCUGAAAGUUGGGACUCUGUAGAGCGGAGGAGAGAGAGGCAGAAGAACCCUGGCCUGAGAAGGUUCGGUCCAGCCUGGUUUAGCCUGGAUGUUGCUGUGCACGGUGGACCCAGACACAUCGCACUGUGGAUUAUUUCAUUUUGUAACAAAUGAACGAUAUGUAGCAGAAAGGCACGUCCACUCACAAGGGACGCUUUGGGAGAAUGUCAGUUCAUGUAUGUUCAGAAGAAAUUCUGUCAUAGAAAGUGCCAGAAAGUGUUUAACUUGUCAAAAAACAAAAACCCAGCAACAGAAAUGGAGUUUGGAAAACAGGACUUAAAAUGACAUUCAGUAUAUAAAAUAUGUACAUAAUAUUGAAUGACUAACUAUCAAAUAGAUGGAUUUGUAUCAAUACCAAAUAGCUUCUGUUUUGUUUUGCUGAAGGCUAAAUUCACAGCGCUAUGCAAUUCUUAAUUUUCAUUAAGUUGUUAUUUCAGUUUUAAAUGUACCUUCAGAAUAAGCUUCCCCACCCGUUUUUGUUGCUUGAAAAUAUUGUUGUCCCGGAUUUUUGUUAAUAUUCAUUUUUGUUAUCCUUUUUUAAAAGUAAGUGUACAGGAUGCCAGUAAAAAAAAAAAAAAUGGCUUCAGAAUUAAAACUAUG
rnacentral:sRNA from 1 species